CUUGUCUCAGUGUCUGACACUGUAACCACCAAUAGUUUAUACUUAUACCCAUCUCUGUAUGCUGCAAUUCUACAUAACAAUCUGCAAUUCUAUGUUUCAUCAAGGCAUUGCAUAGCAUUAACAGAUCAAUUGGAUCAUGGGCAUUUAAGUUUUUACAUCAAGUUGCUGAAUAAGCAAGACCUUUUUUAAGGCAAGUGGGUGAAUACUUUGCGUAACCAGCUUCAGCUACAAACAUCAGCUUCACAGCCCAAUUUGUGGACAAAUGCAAAAGGUUCUCUCUUGACCAGUUAAUUGCUACUUCUGAAGCAGUUGAUGAUGAUGGUUAUCAAACAAACUAUAAUAGGGAUAUGUUCUAUCAUUUCCAUUCCCAAUAAAAAGCAUGCAGCAAACUUCUAAAUGCAAACAGAGUGAAAAAAAUGACAAGAAGCAAGAUUCUGUUUUAUUGGUUAUCAUCACAGAUUAUCUGUAAGUUAUGUUUUGACACAGAAUUUUGGGAAUGCAUCACAGACAGCAGUUUCAGGGCUAGGGGCUAUAAGGUCGACUAAGCUCUUUGUAUGUCAAUUCGUUGGCUGCUACCUGCUGGAUUUUCCCUCUUUGACUUUCUAAGAACGUACCUGCUCUUGAUUUGAAAUUUAUGCUGCGCCGCUAUUUAAUGAAUUAAUCCAGUAGGCGGAACCUGCCGAAAGAUCGGCAACGACUGUCGACUGACGGACGUGCUAUUAUUCUGCAAUACUGCUCACUUGCGUGCCAACUUUUCAUUGCCCCGAGGCAUGUGAGAGUUGAGCCUGCUCCAGCUACCCGGCCAGCAUCAUUUGUCUACACAGCCGACUGUACUACUACCCCAGCCCUCACCUAGCACGGAGUUUCUUGAGGGCGACGAGAUCAUGAUAUUGAUGAGGAGAAUAUGUUAUUGACUUUGGAGAAUAACCUGUGUGUCCUAAGUAGUCGUGAAGUCAGCAAGGUUCAAGUUUAUUUAAACGCCAGUAAAGUUAUCUAUUGCGUCCCAACCAUUUACCUCAGGGACUUGAUCCUCGCCAUAGAUAACAAGUGUCAGCGGAUGAAAUGUAUUUUGCCAGAACUUCUCUCCUAUUGAGACGUCAUUCCUUCAAACUACAAUUUAGUUAUUCUGUUGUCAUUGUUUGUUGCCUUAGAUGAUUUAUUUUGAUAUAGUGUCUAACUUCUUCUUUAACGUUAGCAGCGCUUUUUUUUGGUUGCGCAGCAGUGUGAAGUACGAUAGCUUUUAAUUUCCUUUUAUGCUCAAAGAUUGGUCUAUGCUAUAGUAAUGUUGAUUCUACGCCAAAUAUUAAUAUGAUGUUUAUUGUUUACAGA
rnacentral:lncRNA from 1 species